rnacentral:snRNA from 1 species
AAACUAAGCUGUCAGGGAGCACCAUUGUCCCCAGGCUGAGUCUCCAUGGCCGGCUCAUCCGUUGCAUGUUGGCUGUGCUGACAUGUUUUCCCUAAAUGGGAAAAACUCAGCUGUAUAAUUUGUGGUGGUAAGGAAUAGCAUCAUUCUCUUUU